UGAGCAAUCUGCCCUUCUCAUCGGAAUAAGCGUUGGAAACGACGUCUAAUGCCGAAUACGACCUCCUUUCACAUGAUCGGAGGUGGAAAGCUCCGGCGGAGAAGGAUGAGCUCGCGGCCUAUCAGCUAGUUGGUGUGGGUAAUGGCCCACAAGGCGACGACGGGNGCGC
rnacentral:rRNA from 1 species